rnacentral:rRNA from 1 species
UACGGAGGGUGCAAGCGUUAAUCGGAAUUACUGGGCGUAAAGUGUGCGCAGGCGGCGCCGCAAGUCGAGUGUGAAAGCCCCGGGCUUAACUUGGGAAUUGCGCUCGAAACUAUGGUGCUGGAGUGUGGCAGAGGAAGGUGGAAUUCCACGUGUAGCGGUGAAAUGCGUAGAGAUGUGGAGGAACACUGAUGGCGAAGGCAGCCUUCUGGGCCAACACUGACGCUCAUGCACGAAAGCGUGGGGAGCAAACAGG